AUUUUUUCUUUGUCACAGGGCCACAUGGAUCCACCACAUAGCACAGAUAGGGGCGUAGGUCCUAACACUUCUACGGAGUAGAUGAAUGUUCGGGAUAAGGGAAAGGAACCUGCAGUACCUCAGCACCUCCAUAGGGAUGUGGGGUGGUCGACAGUGUUAUGCACUGAUGACAUCGCACUUAGCACAAACCCUAUACAAUUGGUACAAACGAAUAUUAGAAAAAUUAGCCAAGAGAUUGUUGAUUUGGCAACCAUAAGCCCUCAGACUGAUGAGAUAACAGAGAGGGUGCAACUAUUGUUGUGGACAGUGGAAAACUUGCAAAAAUUUAUAAGGGCUCAUCAUCCUGGUGAUGAUGAUCAGGGUAUUGCGGGUAGUUCAGGUGAUGACCAUGUUCUAUAUAUUAAAACCACUCCUUUGGACUUGUGAACUUGUUUUUUUAAUGUUUUAUAUAUUUAAUGUAUUACUCUUCAUGUGCUAACAUGGGUCCGAGGUCGACCCCAACUGUAUUGCCGACUGCAAUGUCGGCAACACAUAGCAUGCAGACAUCGUUUGUUGCACCGGAUCAUGUUGACCCGCCCACUAGUGGAGAUGCACAUGAGGAUGCACCAGAGGGGACUACUGGUGAUAAUAUACCAUCAUUUCCUGGAUCUUCCCGUAUUGCUAGUAUGGGAACGUUGUAGGCCACAUUGGUGGUGAGCGACGAAGAAUUAAUUCCCUUGAAGAUACAGAAGGUUCCAGGUGGAAUGACCAAGAAAAAAAGUUAAAAGAUGAACUCACAAACCGUAUGGUAGGGUUGUUUGGAAAUGACACAUUUGACAAGACUAAGCUCCUGGAAAAAGCUGGCACAUAUCUAAAGUAUGUGAGGGACCAAUACAUGACACAUUUAGAGAUGAAUGUAAAGUAUGAGCGUCCCCCCAUGAUUGCAGAGAGGGAGUGGAAGGACCUGAUUUUGAAUGCAAAUGAGAUAAUUGAAAGGAAAAAAGGAAAUACACCACCAGGCGCUAGAAGAAGAUUGAGUGACACAUCAAAGGCAACCAAGGCAAGACAAGAAAAGCAUGGGCAACACAAACUCGGCUCUGGUGGUUAUAUGAAACUUGUCGCACGAAUUGGCUCUGAAUUCAAUAGAGCACCCAUAGAAGAUGACAAGAGAAUUGGCUACCAGCAAGGCUAUAUAGCCGUGGCUAAAUGGCUAUGAGAACUGAGGGGCAAACACGAGAUUCUGAUGCAUCUGUCACAAUGCAUGAUAAUCGUGGAACAGAACCUAUACAUGAAGGUCCGGAUGUGCAUCCUAGUAGUGGAGAUCAUGUAGUCGGUGGUGACCAAGAGGAGCAUGAUCCAGGUAGACAACAUCAGGAAUGUGAUGUUCCCCAAUCAGAAGAUCUAGAGGGUGUUUAGCAUGUCGAGGUUGAGGCUAGACAAAAUGAUGUGGAAGAUGAUGUGGCCCCAUCAAGACCCCCCUUUGGUUCAGCAUCCUCAUCCUUUGUAUAGGACUAAGCAUACAUCAAGAGCAUGAGAAGAAGGCAGAACAUCCAAAGAUGGGGGAAAUGAUGAAGAAGACGAUGCUCCACUUAGACUUUACAUAGCUUCAAAAAAAAAACAA